UACGUAGAGUGCGAGCGUGUCCGGAAUUAUUGGGCGUAAAGAGCUCGUAGGCGGUGUGUCGCGUCGGCCGUGAAAACCUGCAGCUUAACUGUGGGCUUGCGGUCGAUACGGGCAUCACUGGAGUUCGGCAGGGGAGACUGGAAUUCCUGGUGUAGCGGUGAAAUGCGCAGAUAUCAGGAGGAACACCGGUGGCGAAGGCGGUUCUCUGGGCAUUACCUGACGCUGAGGAGCGAAAGUGUGGGGAGCGAACAGG
rnacentral:rRNA from 1 species